AAUCCGUGGUGAGGGAAAUCACGUUCAUACUCCUUAAAACGUUCCCAGGCUUCUUAGAAAGAUUCAGUUGGCCCUUGUUGAAAAUUUGAGAUCUUUGUUCUCAACU
rnacentral:snoRNA from 1 species